UACAGAGGGUGCAAGCGUUAAUCGGAAUUACUGGGCGUAAAGGGAGCGUAGGUGGCUCUAUAAGUCAGAUGUGAAAUCCCCGGGCUUAACCUGGGAACUGCAUCUGAAACUGUAGAGCUAGAGUAUGUGAGAGGAAGGUAGAAUUCCAGGUGUAGCGGUGAAAUGCGUAGAGAUCUGGAGGAAUACCGAUGGCGAAGGCAGCCUUCUGGCAUAAUACUGACACUGAGGCUCGAAAGCGUGGGUAGCAAACAGGAUUAGAUACCCUGGUAGUCCACGCCGUAAACGAUGUCUACUAGUCGUUGGGUCCCUUGAGGACUUAGUGACGCAGCUAACGCAAUAAGUAGACCGCCUGGGGAGUACGGCCGCAAGGUUAAAACUCAAAUGAAUUGACGGGGGCCCGCACAAGCGGUGGAGCAUGUGGUUUAAUUCGAUGCAACGCGAAGAACCUUACCUGGUCUUGACAUAUCUAGAAUCCUGCAGAGAUGCGGGAGUGCCUUCGGGAAUUAGAAUACAGGUGCUGCAUGGCUGUCGUCAGCUCGUGUCGUGAGAUGUUGGGUUAAGUCCCGCAACGAGCGCAACCCUUGUCCUUAGUUACCAGCGGGUUAAGCCGGGAACUCUAAGGAUACUGCCAGUGACAAACUGGAGGAAGGCGGGGACGACGUCAAGUCAUCAUGGCCCUUACGACCAGGGCUACACACGUGCUACAAUGGUAGGUACAGAGGGCAGCUACACAGCGAUGUGAUGCGAAUCUCAAAAAGCCUAUCGUAGUCCAGAUUGGAGUCUGCAACUCGACUCCAUGAAGUAGGAAUCGCUAGUAAUCGCGGAUCAGAAUGCCGCGGUGAAUACGUUCCCGGGCCUUGUACACACCGCCCGUCACACCAUGGGAGUUGAUUGCACCAGAAGUGGAUAGCUUAACCUUCGG
rnacentral:rRNA from 1 species